rnacentral:rRNA from 1 species
CAGCCGCCACGGUAAUACGUAGGCGGCAAGCGUUGUCCGGAAUUAUUGGGCGUAAAGGGCUCGCAGGCGGUUUCUUAAGUCUGAUGUGAAAGCCCCCGGCUCAACCGGGGAGGGUCAUUGGAAACUGGGAAACUUGAGUGCAGAAGAGGAGAGUGGAAUUCCACGUGUAGCGGUGAAAUGCGUAGAGAUGUGGAGGAACACCAGUGGCGAAGGCGACUCUCUGGUCUGUAACUGACGCUGAGGAGCGAAAGCGUGGGGAGCGAACAGGAUUAGAUACCCCCGUAGUCCCUGUCUCUUAUAC